rnacentral:lncRNA from 1 species
CCUCACCAUGGGGUGCAGCCUCACCCUGAGGUGCAGCCUCACCCUGAGGUGCAACCUCACCAUGGGGUGCAACCUCACCAUGGGGUGCAGCCUCACCCUGAGGUGCAACCUCAUCACGGCACAGCCUUGCUGCGGCACAACCUCAUCACAGCUAGCAGCUCGCCCCAGGAACAACCUUGCUGUGGGUGCAGUCUUGCCGUGGGUGCAACCUCACCAUGGGCGAGACCUUGCCAGAGGGUGCAACUUUGCUGCGGGCGCAACCUCACUGUGGGGUGCAACCUCGCCAUGGGUACAACUUCACCGUGGGGUGCAACCCACUGAGGGCAUAACCUCACCGUGGUGGGACCUUGCCCUGAGUGCAACCUCACUGUGGGUGCAGCCUCACCAUAGGUACAACCUCGCCGUGGGUGCAACCUCAGAUGGAUGCAACCUCGCCAUGGGUGCAAUCUCGCUCUGGGUGCAACCUCGGGUGGGUGCAACCUCCCCAUGGGUGCAACCUCCCCACAGCAGCACUGGGCCACCAAGCGAGCAGGCAGAGAACCUGAGCAAGGUUGUGCUCCCACAGGGGCUUGCUGUGGGGACCGUAAUGUGGAGCGGCCCUGGUUUCGUGGGCAGCCAUGGGGUCCCAGCCGGCACCCGCGCCCUGCCAGCGGGGAUGCGUGGCGCCGAGGCACCCGCUUUGCCCGCAGGACCCGGCCCCUGGAGACACCAGCUCCCAGGAGAUGCUCGGUGGUGGGGCAGCCCGGUCCCUGYGGUGGCGGUGGAGUCGCCGAGCCGGCGCAUGGCCUCUCUUUUCCUGUUUUCUGUCUUGUUUUGGUUCGUUUUUUUCGGUUGUUUGGCUGGAUUUUAAACCACACGCAUGUAUACGCUCCGCUUGGACAGGGGGGGAACUCGAGGGAAGACUCUCCGCUCGCGGACGAGGGCGACUUUCACCCUGCUCAAACCCGUCCUUGCUCCGUUUUUCCGGGCUUCCUUGGCGAAAGGAGCCCGGGAGGAAGCCAGCCCCGGCGCAACUCGACGCACGUGCGGCCGCCGCACAGCCGGGGCCGGAGCGAGCCGGCAAUUAAAGGCUCCUCGCGGAUUAGCCCUGCGUGCAUCGGCCGYGGAGACCGGGUAAAACGCGCCCGCCUGCCCGCGGGAAAGGAGGCCGUCCCGGGAGGACAGAGGGGUUGUUUGCUUUUCUUUUCUUUUUUUUCUUUUUUUUUUCCUCUUUUUUUUUUCCCCCCGGAGUUUCUUUCGCCUCCUCGCUUUCCAAGUCCGGCAAGCAGGGCCGACGGGCUCCGCCGGGCUCCCCAGGCCUCCCGGCGGCAUUUGGCGUCCGCUUCGGUCCUAAACCUCUGCCAAACUUCCAAAGAAAAAGGCAAGGGAAAAGGGCGGCUGCGAAAAUCCGCCCGGCAGNNNNNNNNNNNNNNNNNNNNNNNNNNNNNNNNNNNNNNNNNNNNNNNNNNNNNNNNNNNNNNNNNNNN